AAAAAUUUUAUUUAAUUAAACAUAUUCGAGCUGAAUAUUAAAAAAAAAGAAAAAAAAGAAGAAUUCACAAUAAUAAAAAAUAGAUACUCAUCCGUCCCACUAUAAAUGUCUCAAUUUUCAUGGAAUAUUCUAUUACAAAUGUCAUACUAUUCAUUUUUUUGGCAAAUAAUUAAGACACUAAUUAACUAAUGGGCCCAUCAACUACUCUCUCUCUCU
rnacentral:lncRNA from 1 species